rnacentral:rRNA from 1 species
GGGCCCGCACAAGCGGUGGAGCAUGUGGUUUAAUUCGAUGCAACGCGAAGAACCUUACCUGCCCUUGACAUCCUCGGAAGGGACCGGAAACGGACCCGUGCCUUCGGGAACCGAGAGACAGGUGCUGCAUGGCUGUCGUCAGCUCGUGUCGUGAGAUGUUGGGUUAAGUCCCGUAACGAGCGCAACCCCUAUCCUUAGUUGCCAGCACGUAAUGGUGGGAACUCUAGCGAAACUGCCGGUGCAAACCGAGAGGAAGGUGGGGAUGACGUCAAAUCAUCACGGCCCUUACGUUCUGGGCUACACACGUGCUACAAUGGUCGGUACAAAGGGCAGCGAAGCCGCAAGGUGGAGCGAAUCUCACAAAACCGGUCGUAGUCCGGAUUGCAGUCUGCAACUCGACUGCAUGAAGCUGGAAUCGCUAGUAA